rnacentral:lncRNA from 1 species
AAAAUAAAAAACGUGGAAGAGGUGGUGUGUUUGGAGGGGGCGUGUCGAAAAGGGGGAGACAAGAUUGGUUAGAGGGAAUUUUCAUUGGGAUUGGAGAGAGGAAAAAAAAACGGUUAGAGGAUUUUGGAAAGUUAGAGAGCAUCAAGAGGGUGAAGCUGAGGAAAGGAAGGGAAACGGAUUAACCAGGCAGAGGAAGAAGUGAUCAGAGGAGUCAUUUGGAUUGUAGCUGUCACCGUUGACAACAGAGGAUAGGC